UGCCUUGUUCUAUAUGAAUGUGGGCCUGGCUGUUCCUGGAGUUCGAGAAGGCGAAUAUGGCCAUAUGGACCUACAAGGUAUGCUUCCAUUAUGUCAAACUCAUUGCUGUGGUGGCAAUGAGACCUGAAAUGUGA